rnacentral:tRNA from 1 species
GCGGGAAUAGCUCAGUCGGCUAGAGCGUCAGCCUUCCAAGCUGAGGGUCGCGGGUUCGAAUCCCGUUUCCCGCU